rnacentral:rRNA from 1 species
UACGUAGGGGGGCAAGCGUUGUCCGGAUUUAUUGGGCGUAAAGAGCGUGUAGGCGGUCAGGUAGGUCCGUUGUGAAAACUCGAGGCUCAACCUCGAGACGCCGAUGGAAACCAUCUGACUAGAGUCCGGAAGAGGAGAGUGGAAUUCCUGGUGUAGCGGUGAAAUGCGCAGAUAUCAGGAAGAACACCCCGUGGCUAAGGCGGCUCUCUAGUACGGUACUGACGCUGAGACGCGAAAGCGUGGGGAGCGAACAGG